UAUGGCGGCCAUGGCGGCGGGGCACACCUCUUCCCAUUCCGAACAGAGCAGUUAAGCCCGCCUGCGCCGAUGGUACUGGGGCAACUCCCGGGAGAGUAGGUCACCGCCAGAC
rnacentral:rRNA from 1 species